CUUAUUAAAAUUUAAGACAAAAAAAUAGAGCGAAGGUAAAUAUAUAUAUAUAUACACAGGUGGGUGGAGAGAGCCAUAUUUUUGUAAUUUAUUAAAGGUACCGUAUAAAACAAAUUUUUUUUUAUAUUACCGUAGGAGAUGUAAUUAUCCCAUUAAACUUCAUUUGAGCCGUAUUUUUAUAAUUUAUGGGUGAAAAAAACCGUAUUUUUGUAAUUUAUUAAAGGUACCGUAUAAAACAAAAACAAAAUUAUAUUACCGUAGGAGAGAUGUAAUUAUCCCAAAAAUUUAAGGUUACAUUUAAAUUGUGAACCCAAACUAUUGGGCUUGGCCCAAAAAUAGUACAUACAAAGUUAUAACCAAAUUGAUUCGAUUUUAUCUUCAUUAAGUGGCCACUCUGUAUUCCACUACCAUUCCUCUUAGCGUAUGGUAGCCUGUUAUGCGCUAACAUGACUAGAAGAGCAUGAGUAGAUGAUCAAAAAGCGUCUUUAUUAGCAUAUGGAUGCCUACUUUGUGAACACAUGAUUGCUAUAAGCAUCUUUUCUCUUGAGGAAAUAGCGACCAUAAUGUGUCAAAGAAUAACAAUGAAUAGGAUCUUGGAUAUGGUCGCUAUUUCCUUAAGAGAAAAGAUGCUUAUAUAUGUGAAUUCAAAAUCAACCAUAUGUGCUAUUAUUCAAUGUAUUCACUUUCUAAUUGAAUAUUUGCUUAAAGAAAAAACUAAAAUAUUAUUUUAAUUUUAAAAACUCUUAUUCAAUCUUUCAUAAAAUUUAAAUAUAUAUAUAGAUACAUAUGAAGAUUAUAUUUUUUAUUCUCCUAAUAGUGCCCCAUGCCUUUAUUAUAAGUUUGGAUCAAUUAGUUUUAUUUGUUUGUUCUUUUUCAAUAAGUUAAUGUAAAAAUCAACUUCACUCGUGUUGUAAAAAAAAUGGUCUUGUUUUGUACCAUAUGUUUUAUCAAAAUACAAAUUUUGUAUCAUAUGUUUACAAUAAUGAUCAUCUCGUACUUUAUAAUUUGAAAUUAUACUCUUUUGGUAUCCUAUAUAUGCUUUAUCAAAAUACAUAAUUUAGUAUCCUGAGUUGUUCAAAUUUAUUUAACAAUUUUUUUCAAUGUGAAUAAAUUACCCUCAAAUAUAAUAUAUAAGUAAUCAAAAUCGAUUCAAAAAAAUUUAUAGUCAAACUUAUAAAUUUUUUUAAAAUUACAAAAUAAUUCAAAAUUUCACAUGUGUAAUGUUGUAAGUUGAGUUAUCCCGUUUACUAAAUUAUUUUAAUCCACAACUUUUUCGAUAAGCAGCUUUGAUCUUAUUUUUUAUUUUAUUUUUUUUUUUAAAAAAACUUUACUGAUCUAGACUUAAAGUCAAAACUUAUAUAAAAAAAAAAAGCUGCAAUUUUAUUAUUUGUUUUAAGUAAAUCAAACAAAUAGAGUAAAGUUAAUUGUUAUUUAUUUAUAAUUUCAAAAAAAAAAAGAAGCAUUAAUACAUAUCUAACUCGAAAUCAUACCAACCAACCAUUACAAGAAUCAUAUCGAUCAAGCAACAUUAAUUAAAAUAAUUUGUGAAAAUCUCUUGAUUUAUUACUAUGUAGAGGACCAAUCUAUUUGUUUAUUUGUUUAUUUAUUUAUUUUAAUUUUAAAAAAUGGAUCCUUGUUGGGCUAUGGAGACCUCAGGCAUGGGCCUAGCCCGCCUUAACAUAGGAUCAUCCCUAACAUGAUAUACUAUCUGUGUAGUAGUGGUUCAGUCGCUCUUCUUAGUAGGCAGGGUGAUAUAUAAUCAAAUUAGAAGAGGAGGUGUUUAUUCUUCCUGAAAAAUUUCUAAGCCUGAAUCGACUCAGUUCUAAAUACUUUAGGUUAAGGAGCUAUUCUUCGGAAUUCUAAUUGAGAUAUUAUAGCAUAUUUAUCUAAACCACUAUUAGGUACUUAUUUUCCCUUGCUUUCUUAUUGUAGAAUACUAUUGCGUAUCUUGAGAUUUAAUAGGAUAUACCAAUAUAUUUUGAUAAUGUCUAGUCGUACGUAUGUUACUUUUACUAUUUUUCCUUUCUGUAUACAACAUGGUUUAAGUCAUAUUCAUAAUUCAUCAGAUGAUAUAUUACUCUCUUUCCAAGAAUUUAAUUACAAGCUUUACAGUUCUAUAAGCUGAAUGUGUGGCAUUAAUGGUGGCUUUGGACUGGAUUCUCUCAUUAGGACUUUCGGUGCAUGUGGUUGAAACAGAUUGUCUUGCAAAGUGUGUCUGCUUACACUAAGAGAGCAACAUUUUUCAAUGAUGUAGGGUCUUUGUUAGAGGAUAUAGCAAGUCUGUUGUUCAGAUUUCCAGGAUACCUAAUCCCCAUGUUUGUCGAACAGCCAAUGUGGCUGCUCAUGGAAUAGAUGUGCAUGCUCUUAGGAUGGAUAGACAUCUUGGGUGGUUAGAUGACAUCUCAUCUUUUAUUAGGGAUGCUUAGUUUUUUUUAGGUUGUACGAUUUUUUGAUUAUUAUCAAUGAAGUUAUCAUUGCGAAAAAAAAAAUUAAUUUAAGGUACUCUAAUAAAAUAAGCCAUGAUCUUAAUAAUGUCAUUUAUUGACUAACCCACAGUCUUGUGAUAACAUUUUGUAUAAAAUGUUUUAUAUAAGUUUUAAUGAUAUCAUCACUCUGAGUACAGCGCUCUAAUGAUCAUUCCCGUAUUCUAAUUAAUUAGGGCAUCCCUGCACUGCAUGGCCGGAUGGCACGUACGUACGUACACAAACAACAGCAAUUAUUUAUGCUGAUUAUAUAUAACACACAUAAUUAUUAAUCAUAUAUAAAAGAACACUACACACAAUUAAAAACUU